CGACGAACGGGUGAGGUAACACGUGGUGUUACCUACCACCGAUGACCGGGUACAACCCUGAGGAAACUCGGGCUAAUACCGGGAUGUUCUCGUUUCUCGUAAGGGGAACCGAGUAAAGAUAGCUUCGGCCUUCGUCAUCUAGGACGGGNUCCUGCGGCCCAUUAGCUUGUUGGUGGGGUAACGGGCCUACCAAGGGCGACAUGGGUAGCUGGUCUGAGAGGACGAUCAGCCACAUUGGGACUGAGACACGGAUCCAAAUCUUAAAGGGAGGCAGCAGUGGAAUCUUGCGCAAUGGGCGAAAGCCUGACGCAGCAACGCCGCGUGGGGGAAGAAGGCCUUCGGGUUGUAAACCCCUUUCAGUUGGGACGAAGCUUCCAGAGUUAAUAGCUCUGUGGAGUGACGGUACCUUCAGAAGAAGCCCCGGUAACUACGUGCCAGCAGCCGCGG
rnacentral:rRNA from 1 species